AACGAACGCUGGCGGCAUGCCUAACACAUGCAAGUCGAACGAGACCUUCGGGUCUAGUGGCGCAUGGGUGCGUAACGCGUGGGAACCUGCCCUUAUGUUCGGAAUAACUCCCCGAAAGGGGUGCUAAUACCGGAUAAUGUCUUCGGACCAAAGAUUUAUCGCCUUUGGAUGGGCCCGCGUUGGAUUAGCUAGUUGGUAGGGUAAAAGCCUACCAAGGCGACGAUCCAUAGCUGGUCUGAGAGGAUGAUCAGCCACACUGAGACUGAGACACGGCCCAGACUCCUGCGGGAGGCGGCAGUGGGGAAUAUUGGACAAUGGGCGGAAGGCUGAUCCAGCAAUGCCGCGUGAGUGAUGAAGGCCUUAGGGUUGUAAAGCUCUUUUACCCGGGAUGAUAAUGACGGUACCGGGAGAAUAAGCACCGGCUAACUCCGUG
rnacentral:rRNA from 1 species